UGGGGAAUAUUGCACAAUGGGCGCAAGCCUGAUGCAGCCAUGCCGCGUGUGUGAAGAAGGCCUUCGGGUUGUAAAGCACUUUCAGUCGUGAGGAAGGUAGUGUAGUUAAUAGCUGCAUUAUUUGACGUUAGCGACAGAAGAAGCACCGGCUAACUCCGUGCCAGCAGCCGCGGUAAUACGGAGGGUGCGAGCGUUAAUCGGAAUUACUGGGCGUAAAGCGCAUGCAGGUGGUUUGUUAAGUCAGAUGUGAAAAGCCCGGGGCUCAACCUCGGAAUAGCAUUUGAAACUGGCAGACUAGAGUACUGUAGAGGGGGGUAGAAGUUUCAGGUGUAGCGGUGAAAUGCGUAGAGAUCUGAAGGAAUACCGGUGGCGAAGGCGGCCCCCUGGACAGAUACUGACACUCAGAUGCGAAAAGCGUGGGGAGCAAAACAGGAUUAGAUACCCUGGUAGUCCACGCCGUAAAACGAUGUCUACUUGGAGGUUGUGGCCUUGAGCCGUGGCUUUCGGAGCUAACGCGUUAAGUAGACCGCCUGGGAGUACGGUCGC
rnacentral:rRNA from 1 species